CAAAAUGCAUCGAAGAGGACAAUAAUUUAUUGAUCACCUUCCAGAGAGCAGGGGCCAGGCUGAAACCCUUGCAGGCAGAACAUAAAUUUACCACCUCCGAGCAGCAUCAGUGAAUAGAGUAGCUGAUGACGGUAACGGCCCGUUAGCCGAUCGAAAGCUUCGUCUUUUCGCCUAUGCGAAUAGAAGGAAGAAGGGUGGAACCACGAGCUCAAGCCUCGUCCCUUUA
rnacentral:ncRNA from 1 species